rnacentral:rRNA from 1 species
UAAGCCGUUGAAGGUGUCCUGUGAGGGGUGCUGGAGGUAUCAGAAGUGCGAAUGCUGACAUAAGUAACGAUAAAGCGGGUGAAAAGCCCGCUCGCCGGAAGACCAAGGGUUCCUGUCCAACGUUAAUCGGGGCAGGGUGAGUCGACCCCUAAGGCGAGGCCGAAAGGCGUAGUCGAUGGGAAACGGGUUAAUAUUCCCGUACUUGGUGUUACUGCGAAGGGGGGACGGAGAAGG